AAAAAAAAAAAAAAAAAAAAAAGAAAGAAAAAAAGACGACGUCAACUUCCCAAGGCUUUUCAGCGUCAAGAAAGAGGAAUUUGAAGGGAAAGUUCAAGUCUGGGUGGCCAGAAGUUACAUUUCAGUGACCUGGUUACCGCCUCUCUCUGCAAACCCAAAGGAUCACUUUCCUCAGUGGAUCUACCCCAAUCAUCAUUAACGGGACCCCAGUGGAGAGAAUGAGCAGCUUCAAUACCUUCAAAUGCCCUGCAAAGAGUAGCUGAGCGCAUCUCCAGAACAUCUCCCCCUUCUCUGCAAGACAUCCACACCAGAAGAUGUAAAUCUAGGACUGUUAAGAUCCUUAAAGACCCCACCCACCCUGGAAAUCCACUGUUUCAUCUGCUACAGUCAGACAGACGCUUCUGCAGUCUGAUGACAAAAACAGAGAGGCUCAGGAGGAGUUUCUUCCCUCAUGUUAUCAGACUACUAAACAUGGACAUUAAACACACUGAACUUUAUAGACUGGUUGUUUAGGGCUACCCAAUAACUCUCUGCACACUGCUUUUUUGACAACCUAACUAUGCAACUCAUCCUCACUGCACAUUGUCUACAUCUCUGCACAUCAUCUGUGUAGCAGUUUGUAUGUAGCAUCUCUACAAAUCAUCUGUGUAGUAGUUUAAUACAGUAUAUUGUGUAUAUUUUAUACAGUAUAUUUUUUCCUGUUGUUUCAUUAUUUUUUUUUUUUUUUGCACAGUCUAAAAAGAGUAUGCCAGACCUACAUUUCACUGCUUUUUGCAUGUCAUAUAACAAAUAAAACUUGAAUUUUU